AUUCGCGGCCUGUAAAUCAUCCUCACAGAAGUUUAUCGUACGCGUGUACGACGUGAGCUCGUCUCGUGUCGAUGUUGACAAACUAGACUUUCGUGUUGCAUCAUGGAGCUGUUUCAGUUUUCACUUUAGUAAGGUGGGAGAGACUAGAGAGAGAGGUGGCUGAGCUAAUUUCGCUACCGGGUUAAAUUGGCAAACUUGAUUAUUUCUACUGUUCUUUAACAGAUUUCGGAAUUGAGCAAGCAGAGAUUUCAAAGCCGUUUUUGACAUGUUUCAAAAACUUGCUUGCUUAAUUCUGUGACUUAUUAGAAAAUAGCAGAAAUCGUUGGUUUUGCCAACUUAUCUCGUAUCCAACUAUAGUUCCAGUCUCCUCUAUAAAUCUCUUCAUAGCGUUAGGUGUCUUAAUAUUGGAUUGUGUAAUAAGGAAUUUCGAAUGAAAUUAUUCAUCCAUUAUUUCGGGUAAAAUAUGUAAUGAUUGCUUUUAUAUGGUUAUGAUUUUAUGUAACAAUCCAGUUAAGCUUUCAUAAUUAUCAUAACAUGAGACAAUCGAUGAUGGAAACUUUGCAAGCCUUUUAAUUACGUUCAUGAGGUUGCGUACUUAAAGUUUACGCACAUCAGUCUAUCGGAGAAUGCUGGCGAAGGAUGCCAAGAAGUUUAAAACGGCGCCUACAAUCCCUAUUGACUUUCACGAUUAUCACAACGUAAAAUAAUGGAUGAUGAAAGCUUUAAGAUCUUUUAAAUAUAAUUCAUGAACCAAAUAUAUACCAAUACAUAUAUAUUGAAUUAAUUAUUGAAUUUACGUCAUACAAUACAACUUUUUCUGUCAUGUUGAUGCAUCGAGAACAUUCGCUAAAAGUUACAUUUUUAUAUUAAUUCACUAAAGGUUAUAUUUUCAUAUUAUAUUUUAUAUUUAUGUAUUUGAAGAAAAUUUUAAUAACGCAAUUUUAAUAACGUAUUUCUUUCGUAUUUUUAUUUCCUCGUUCGAUGCGAUAAAUAUGAACGUCGUACGGGCCUUCGACCUCACUCAUAAGGGAUGCAAGCUUUGCAAAUCGAUUAAUAAAAGAGAGAGAAGGCUGACGAGAGAGCAGGUCGCGGUUGUUGGUGCGAAUAUUCAAACUAUGAGAGGAUAAUAAUGUUUGAUAGUGCAAACUCACGUGCUGAAUAUUCGCACCAACAACCGCAGCCAGUUCUCUUUUUCUCUCUUCCAGCCGAUUGUAUACGUAAGAGUCGUGUUUAUAUAAUUUAUUCUUCCAAAACAUUGGCGGCAGAAAAACGUUUAUUUUAUUUUGAUCUAAUAUGAUCUAUAGACAUACUUGUGUUGUUUCGAGAUCUCGACAGAAUUGAUAUACUAUCCUACUCGGCAAAGGAAGAGGUUCGACUCUUGGCUGAGGCAAUAUCUUUCGCAACAUUUAAAGAGAAUUUUAAUAAAGAGUAUUAAAAGAAAAAAAAAAAAAAUAAAUGCGUAAUUAAUUAAUAGGAAUGGUAUAAUGGGA